AAGGAUUUAAGUUAAACAUAAACUAGUAGCCUUCAAAGCUGAAAAUAGAGGCUUCUCUAAGCCUUG